rnacentral:tRNA from 7 species
GCUGCCAUCGUCUAGAGGCCUAGGACGCCACCCUUUCAAGGUGGAGAUCGCGGGUCCGAAUCCCGCUGGCAGCA